CCUACGGGACGCAGCAGUGGGGAAUAUUGCACAAUGGGGGAAACCCUGAUGCAGCGACGCCGCGUGAGCGAUGAAGUAUUUCGGUAUGUAAAGCUCUAUCAGCAGGGAAGAAAAUGACGGUACCUGACUAAGAAGCCCCGGCUAACUAUGUGCAAGCAGCCGCGGCAAUACGUAGGGGGCAAGCGUUAUCCGGAUUUACUGGGUGUAAAGGGAGCGUAGACGGCUUGGCAAGCAAGAUGUGAAAGGCUGGGGCCCAACCCCAGGACUGCAUU
rnacentral:rRNA from 1 species